rnacentral:rRNA from 1 species
GACGAACCGUGCAAACGUUAUUCGGAAUCACUGGGCAUAAAGGGCGCGUAGGCGGCUUGACAAGUCAGGGGUGAAAUCCGGCAGCUUAACUGUCGCAGUGCCUUUGAUACUGUCGAGCUCGAGGGAGGUAGGGGUCUGUGGAACUUCCGGUGGAGCGGUGAAAUGCGUUGAUAUCGGAAGGAACGCCGGUGGCGAAAGCGACGGACUGGAUCUCUUCUGACGCUGAGGCGCGAAAGCUAGGGGAGCAAACGGG